GGACUACUGGGGUAUCUAAUCCUGUUUGCUCCCCACGCUUUCGCGUCUCAGCGUCACCACAAGUCCAGCGAGUCGCCUUCGCCACUGGUGUUCCUACGAAUAUCUACGAAUUUCACCUCUACACUCGUAAUUCCACUCGCCUCUACUUGGGUCCAGGUCGCCAGUAUCGAAGGCAGUUCCAGAGUUGAGCUCUGGGCUUUCACCCCCGACUUAACGACCCGCCUACACGCGCUUUACGCCCAGUAAUUCCGAACAACGCUAGCCCCCUUCGUAUUACCGCGGCUGCUGGCAC
rnacentral:rRNA from 1 species